rnacentral:rRNA from 1 species
UGCGUCGGAAGCGGCUUUUGUUGCUCUGUGCUUUUGCUGUGCGUGGUGUUGCUGGUGCCCUGUGUUGCGGUGGGACGUCAGAGUCAGUUUGUAUGCUGCGGGAAAUGGCUGCCGAGGAGGUAGGUCGAGAUUUCGGUCUUGGCUGUUAUAUCUUGGUGGUUUGUUGUCGUGGUUGAGACUGAGGUGCCUACAAUGUGCUUUUGAGUGUACCGGGUUCUCAUUUGGUGGACUGUUUGGAUAGCUUGCUAUGCUUGUGGUUUUUUCAUCGGGUGAUUGAGUCUGGUGGUAACUUAUUGCCGUUCGGGACUUUGACGAAAUGGAGCGAUUCGGCCCGUCUUGAAACACGGACCAAGGAGUCUAACAUGUGUGCAAGUGUUAGGGUGUGGAAACCCGAGCGCGUAAUGAAAGUAAAGGGUGGCUUUAGCUGCCUGAGGUAGGAAACCUUUGUUCUCAGAGGUGGCACUAUCGACCGAUCAAGAACCUUCGUGGUGAAAGAUUUGAGUAUGAGCACAUAUGUUGGUACCCGAAAGAUGGUGAACUAUG